UACGAAGGGGGCUAGCGUUGCUCGGAAUCACUUGGGCGUAAAGGGUGCGUAGGCGGGUCUUUAAGUCAGGGGUGAAAUCCUGGAGCUCAACUCCAGAACUGCCUUUUGAUACUGAAGAUCUUGAGUUCGGGAGAGGUGAGUGGAACUGCGAAGUGUAGAGGUGAAAUUCGUAGAUAUUGGGAGGAACACCAGUGGCGAAGGCGGCUCACUGGACCGGAACUGACGCUGAGGCGCGAAAAGCGUGGGGGAGCAAACGGG
rnacentral:rRNA from 1 species